UGGGAAAAGCUGGAGAGACACCAUGUGGAAUAUUUUUGGUGCCAAAAUCUCUAAUACCCUGAAGAAGAAAAAAAAGCCAGUGUCAAACCUGAAGAGGAUUUAAACUCUAAGGAAAGACACACGAUCCACCAGGUCAAUCCAGUUGUCCCAGCUGAAUUGCAGAAGAAAUAUAUAUAUCAGGAUAUCCAGCUGCUCGUUCUGAGACUUCCACUCACUGGCUGUGCGUGCUCAUUUUCCUGCUCUGAGCAUCAAUCUCCUAGGAUCUGUAAAGAGAAAGGAACACUUCUAGGUCUAAAAACGUUGGCUGCUCCUGAUGGAAUAUGGUCAGAGCUGACAGGUGAUACCCACCUUCUGGGUUUCAGGAUUGAAGACCAAGAGCCUUGCCAUGAACAUGAAAGUGACAGCUCACCUGGAAAUGGGUGGUGCCCCUCUCUGUUGAGACGAUCGACAGGCAAUAUUUCACUUACUUCUUCACCAUCCUCCAGGGAUGCUUAUAAACAAAUCUGUGGUUUUGGAUGACUGUCUAGACCUCGAACAUGCAGCCUCCUUGAAAAGGUACUUUUUCCUGAUGCUAUUUAAGAUAACACACUGUUGUCCCUCUGUUAGAGUAAAGAAGGCCAAUAGAAGAAGUCAAGUCUGAGAAUCAUUCAGUAGACAACAGAGGAGUUGAAGGUGGAUAUAAGAGAAUGAAGAUGGUGACCCAUGAAGCCAUGGAGGAAGGAGAAGUAGAGCUAGUAAACAUACUGGGAACAGGACCAGUAGGAUCAUAUUCACUCCACCAUUGACCUUGUGCAGGCUCUCCAAGAAUCAUGGACAAUGGGACCUACAAGGACCUUGGGAAUCUCUAUUUCAGUCUGCUCAUUGUACCCACAAGGAAACAUCCAGAGCAGCUCAUGACUGUCUGAGGUCUCAAGUUAAUUGGAUUUCCAGGCAUUGCAGCCAGCCACGGCAAUUGAUCCCUGAAAAGAUGGAUUUAUUGCUUAGACAGGCAGAAUUCUGACAAUCUUCAGAGGAUGGAA